UUUGUACCACCUAAAAGUAAGCGAGUUAGCUAUAGAGUUGUAUUUCUAUAAGUGAUCAGGAUGGUGAAUGAGUUGAAAUCAUUAAUUAUUCAAGUUGUUGAAAUAUGUAACUAUAAAUACGUUUGUACUUUGUACAAAGAUAGUUUACCCUAAUACAUUUCGCAUAUAAAGUUCCAGUAGAAACUUUUAGGUCUUCAUACCGCCGUACUAACAAACAAUAGAAGAAAUUUAAUUAUAUAAAAUAAUUAAUAAAGCGAAUAUGGAUUAUGGAAACGAAAUUGUGGCCGACAUUUGUGAAGGAAAUAAUUUAAGAAAUGAUAACGAAAAGCUUGAUGAAUCUCUUGAUUUAGAUGACUUAUUGCCAUCAAUAGGAGAGUUUGGAAUAUAUCAAAAAAUGCUGGUUUUUGGAAUUUGCCUACCAGCAUGUAUACCUUGUGGAUUUUGCGCCUUUAAUCAAAUUUUUAUGGCAAAUGUUCCUAAUGAUUAUUGGUGCAAAGUGCCAGAGCUAUUGGACAUACCAAUAGAAAACCGGAAGCUUUUAGCGAUUCCAAAGAACAUGGUGAGAAAAAAUUAUGUGAUUAAUCAAUCAUGUAAUAGAGUUUUUAUUUAUAACAUGGUACAUUUAAUUUUUAUAAGAUUGAACAACUUAACCAUUUUUAGUGCAUAUUUGUAUCUACAUAUAUGGUAUAAACUCCCAAUUUAGAAGAUAUGAUGGUUGGAAAAUAUUAUUGCAUUAUGCUGAAACGUGUAAAAAUUUUAGUAUCAGUAUCAAAUAUAUCCGCUACCUUCCUACUAACUGAUAA